AGUGAACGCUGGCGGUGGGCCUAACACAUGCAAGUCGAACGGCAGCACAGUAAGAGCUUGCUCUUACGGGUGGCGAGUGGCGGACGGGUGAGGAAUACAUCGGAAUCUACUUUUUCGUGGGGGAUAACGUAGGGAUACUUACGCUAAUACCGCAUACGACCUACGGGUGAAAGCAGGGGAUCUUCGGACCUUGCGCGAUUGAAUGAGCCGAUGUCGGAUUAGCUAGUUGGCGGGGUAAAGGCCCACCAAGGCGACGAUCCGUAGCUGGUCUGAGAGGAUGAUCAGCCACACUGGAACUGAGACACGGUCCAGACUCCUACGGGAGGCAGCAGUGGGGAAUAUUGGACAAUGGGCGCAAGCCUGAUCCAGCCAUACCGCGUGGGUGAAGAAGGCCUUCGGGUUGUAAAGCCCUUUUGUUGGGAAAGAAAAGCAGCAGGUUAAUACCCCGCUGUUCUGACGGUACCCAAAGAAUAAGCACCGGCUAACUUCGUG
rnacentral:rRNA from 1 species